rnacentral:rRNA from 1 species
UUGGUGGCGACCGGCGGACGGGUGCGUAACGCGUAUGCAACCUACCUGACACAGGGGGAUAAUCCGAAGAAAUUUGGUCUAAUACCCCAUAAUACCGAUAUAGGCAUCUAUGUUGGUUGAAAGCUUUGGUGGUGUCAGAUGGGCAUGCGUUGUAUUAGCUAGUUGGUGGGGUAACGGCUCACCAAGGCGACGAUACAUAGGGGGACUGAGAGGUUAACCCCCCACACUGGUACUGAGACACGGACCAGACUCCUACGGGAGGCAGCAUG